rnacentral:lncRNA from 1 species
AACCCGCUCGGGUCACCUUCGACACCGUGGAAGCUUUGUUCUUUCGUCCUUUGCAAUAAAUCUUGCUACUGCUCACUCUUUGGGUCCACACUGCUUUUAUGAGCUGUAACACUCACCUCGAAGGUCUGCAGCUUCACUCCUGAGCCAGUGAGACCACGAACCCCCUAGAAGGAAAAAACUCCGAACACAUCCAAACAUCAGAAGGAACAAACUCCAGACGUGCCACUUUAAGAGCUGUAACACUCACCGCGAGGGUCCGUGGCUUCAUUCUUGAAGUCAGUGAGACCAAGAACCCACCAAUUUCGGACACACUAGGCUCUGACAAGCAACUCUGCAAAGCAGAAGUGAUGCUUGAAACCACAGCAGCCAUUUUGGGGCCACGAGGCAAUAAGCACAAGGAUAAAAAGCCAAGAACCAAAGAUGGAGAAUCAAGGGUGUAAUGAACCUAGAUGAUAUGAUAUGACAGAGUCCUGAACUGCUAGACUUCU